rnacentral:tRNA from 1 species
AGGAAUAUAAUUUAAUUGGUAGAAUCACGGUCUUCAAAAUCGUUUAUUGGAGUUCAAUUCUCCAUGUUCCUG